rnacentral:lncRNA from 1 species
GGAACAUGCUGUGUGUCCAGCACAAAGCCCUGUCCAAUUUCAAAUUCAUCUAUGGCAGAGACGACUAGUUCUUCACCCCAAACUCAUUGCCUUUCCUUCCGGGGCACCUGUCGGCCCACAUUUCCCAGCCCACUUUGCAGUUGAGUGUGCUCAUGUGACUGAGCUACGGCCAAUGGGAUGCAAGCGGAAGUGACGUCCACCAAGUCCAGGUAAAGGCUGUUAAGGAAUGAUUACGCCCUCUCCUUCUCUUUCUCCUUCCAUCUGCCAGAUACAGAUGGCAAGGAUACAAAUGACAAGGAGAGGGGGGUUAUGGAGCCACAGCUGGAAGGAGUCUGGUCCUUGAAUCACCAUUUGGAGAAAAAACGUUUGUCAACCAGGAAUCCCCACUUUGGACUGUUGGGGUUGGGAGUGUGGGAAAUCUUUGUGUCUAAGCUCCAUGUGUUCCAGGGUCUGGUUGUUAGAGUCCUAAUCCAGUGCUCUCUCCAGCUGCAGAUGAUCCCAUCCUGCCUGCACAGCUUCUCCAGGGGAGAUAGACACACAGAAGCCCACGAGAGUCAAAUAAGAGCCAUACCUUCCAGGUCUCCAUGACACAGACAUCCUCCACCACACCUGUUAAGAAAGUCGAAAUCGUCACUGCCACCCACACUGGGGUUCUGCUUUCCUGAUUACACCUUUCUCAUCUCUAUCACCUAUGCCAGGAACCCAAACCCAAGUCUUCCCAGCUGUGUGCAGAAUCACAGUGGCCACACCAAGACAACAGUGCCCAGCAGCAGCAUAGUACACCUAAAGGUGCUGCACUCUUGAUGUGGAUGCUGAUGAAAAGGAGAGUAGAAAUAAUAACAAUAUGUUUCGACGGGGCAUGGUGGCUCAUGCCUGUAACCCCAGCACUUCGAGAGGCCAAGGCAAGAAGACCACUUGAGCCCAGGAAUUUGAGACCAGCCUGGGCCACAUAGUGAGAUCUCAUGUCUACAAAAAAUAAGCAAAAAUUAUCUGGGCAUGGUGGCAUGCACCUGUAGUCCUAGGUACUCAGGAGGCCGAGGUGAGAGGAUCACUGGAGCCUGGGAGAUUGAGGCUGCAGUGGCCCACGAUCAUGCCACUGAACUCCAGCCUGGGAGACAGAGCAAGACCCCAUCUCAAAAAAAAUGUGCCUGGGACCUUAUCUCAAAAAAACAACAAAAAACCCAAUAUGUUUUUUGUUACCUCCUUUGUGCCAGGCUCUGAAUUAAGCAUUCUAUGUGUGUUAUUUUAUCUACACUUUACAACUCCCCUACCAGACAGAUAAUAGUCUAGUCUCAUUUUAUAGAUGAAGAAACCGAGGUUCAUGGAGUUACAGCAUGACCCAUGCCACACAAUAAGUGUAUGAAAGGGCAGCAAAUUAAACCCUUGACUCUGAAGCCCAUGGUUUUAACCAUGGCUCUUUAUCCUCUCUCAUAGUUGCACACAUAUGACUAGAAAGGGACUCCAUUUUCCAGUGGAAAGUUGGCGGUCUGGGGGAGAAGUGGUAUGGCAACAUGUUGUCAGGAAGAAAGGACCAUAAUUCUGAGGCCCAGUGCCCAUCUGCUUGGCCAGCGUCAAAUGCCGGGGCACUCGGCCUCCUCAUCAGGCCACACACAGCAUCUACAGAGACAUUGACAAGCCCCACUGGAGUGCUGCCCAUGGAAGUGCAGG